rnacentral:lncRNA from 1 species
ACCAAAAGAGUAUUUACACCAAUCUUUUAUUUGAAUUAGUUGAAUUAUCCGAGUUAUUAAUGUAAUAGGCCAAUUUUGGCCUGGAUAAAAAAACAAAUAACAAGCUCAAAUUGUAACCCAAUUACAUUAGCCCAAUAAACCCAUAACAGAAUCAAAGAACCCUAGCCCCUUCGCCUCAGUACCGCAGCAGCAAAUAGCCUCCGCGCAGAUAUCACAACACGUCGCACGUUCUCCUUCCACGCCGCGCACGUCUGUCUUCCAUGCACCUGCAACAAACUACAAAUAGCAGCAAAUGAAAAGAAAAUGGGGGAAUUUUUAUUAUUGUUUUGGGGUUAUAAAGAGUUGAUUGUAAAACUGAUUGAAAAAACAAUAUUGUAUUAACAGAUUGAGAAACACAACAGGAUUAAAAAAACAAUUUUGAAGGUGACGAUUUUGGUUCUUCUUUUUUCCAGUUUUUUUUUCCUUCUUUCUUUCUCUUUUAUUUUUCCUUGUUUCUAAAAGCAAAUAAAAAAGGGAAAGAAAGGAGGGCUUACCGUUGCGAGAGUCGUUGGAGAGCGUCCUCGUUUCGUCGUUAUCUGGUCGGACAUGGGAGGGGACUGGAACGGCGGAGGAGAACUGCUGCGGCGCGAUUUUGAAUGGCAGAGGAGAGUUUUUUUUAGGGCUUGAAUUGGGUUUUAUUGGCUGCAAAUUAAAUGGGGUUUUAUUUAUGGGUUAUUUAUGUUUUUAAUCCUCUUUAUUUUUCCAUCAUUUCAAAAUCAUAGUUUUUAUUUUUAAAUUUUUCCAUGAAAAUUUUAAAUUAUUUUAUUUUAAUCCCAUUUAAACACAGUGUUUAAGAGGUUUAGGAGAAUUUUCCUUUUGGGUCCUCUUUCUGUUGCGUGCUUUUUAAUUUGGUCCCUUUUUGGUGUUUUCUAUUUUUAAAUUCAGCCUUUUGAUUCUGUUUAUUUUACAGUUUGAUCCCUAAUUGGUAGUUUUAGGUUUAUUUUAGUUUUUUUAAUAUUAUCAAUAUUGUUAUUGCGUUAUUAUUCUUAUAAUGUUAUCUAUUAUUAUUACAUAUAUUUAUGCGCAUAUGUAUCUUAUUAUAUACACUUAUCUUAUAUAUUAUUAUUAUUUUAUUUUCUUAGUUUAUAUAGAUACAUACGUACAUAUAUUAAUAUUUUAUAAUAUUUUUAUAGUUUUUAUAUGUUUUAUAAUCCAAAUUUAUAUACAUUUUUUAUAAUAUAUAUAUACAUACAUUAUUCAAAAUUAUCAUAAAUAUACAUUUUUUCCGCAUCUUUCUUAUAUAUAAACAUAUAUAUAUUCAUAAUUUAUUAAUGUAUUUUGUUUAUAUUUAUAUUUUUUUAUUUGUAUUUAUUGUAUUUAUUUCUAUAUAUUUUUUAGAUACCCAUACCUAUACAUAUUUUAUAUUUUAUUUUUAUAACUUUAUUAUAUAUGCUUUAAUAUAUGCAUAUACAUAUUUUUUAAAAUUUACUUAUAUACCAUAUUUUAUUUUGUAAAUACAUAUGCAUAUAUAAUUUAAAUUAAAAUAUUUGUUUCAUAUUGCAUUCACAUUUUUUAAAACAUAUCCUUUAAAAAUAUAUUUUGAUUUUGUCAUAGGAUUUUAAAAUAAAAACGAUAUUCAAAGUUAGGGAUUUUCGAGGAAAUUGAGCCCUAACGUAUUGGGUUCCGAUUUUCUUUAUUAAUUCCAAAUAACCGAGAAUAUUCGUUAUUCAAAAUGCAUAAGUAUAAAAAUCAUUUUCGGGAACUUAAUUUGUCGUGUCCUAACGUAUUGGGCAUGACAUAUUGCUUUCUCGAAAUGAAGAUUUUCUUUAAAAACUAAAAAGCGAUAUUCAAAGUUCGGGGGGUUUUGAGAAAUUGUACCCUAACGUAUUGGGUCUCGAUUUCGUUAUAUAACUUGAACAAUUGAUUAUUCUUUUCAGAUUUCAUCAUUUUGAGUUUUUUUUUAAAUCUUUUCAAAUUUUCGACACCAAGACAUUAAAUAAUCAAUUUGGUACCGAUUUUGGGCGUUACGAGGGUGCUAACCCUUCCUCGUUCGUAACUGACUCCCGAACCCGUUUUCAAAUUUCGUAGACCAAAAUCGUUUUAAGGUGAGCCGAUCACACCUAAAUCACGGAUCAGUGGCGACUCUAAUUUUAUUUUUAAAGUCGACAACUAAAUUUUUGUUUUCAAAAAAUGGUUUCGACAGCUUGGCGACUCUGCUGGGGACCUUAGAGAGUCGAGCCAUGAAUUGAUUAUUUUUUUUCUUUUUUGUCAAAAAUCAAAAGUUGUUUUAAAUCGUGAUUUCCCCUUUGCAUUCAUUGGUUUUUAUCAUGAUAUGCUUGCUUAAUUGGUCUAAGUCCGUUAGUUUAUUUGCAUUUUGCAUUUCAUGGUCAAUUUUACCCCUCUAAGUGGAAGUAAGAAGCUAGUCCUUCGUGAGGUUUUCACCUCUAUCCAGGAUAGUAGAUCGCUUUCGGGAUACAUCCGUACCUAUGUCUUCGUGAGAUUUUCAUCUCCGUGUAGCCAUAGGGAAAUGUAUCCCCCUGAACUGAACUCAGUCUAUAUGAGCCUAUAAUGGGUGAAGAUCGAGGAAUCUGCUGGUUUGGGUACCCUUGCUCUAGAAGCCAAACUUCAUAUAGUGAACCUUAGGAACUUACCCUAGGUAGAAUUACUCUAAACCUUAGUAGAUACCUGACUAGGAGUUUUUAUUAUUUCUUGAUUGUAUUGGAUUUAAUGUUUAUACCUGAUACUAACUUGUUGUGUUUUGUUUUGAAUGCAUGACAUUUUGACUAUAUGGCAUUUCAUUAUAAAAAAUGUGUUGAUUCACAUUCGGUUGCUAAAUAGAGAGCUUGUCCUAAGAAAAUGGGUUUCUUGAUAAAGUGGAUGACAAUAUGGUUGUCUGAAUAUGGUCCAAGAAAACGUGAUAAGAGAAUGAUGAUAGUUUAAUGGAGGACUACAUGGCUAUGGCUCCAUUGCCCAAGGAUUCAAGUUGACGAAUAUUAUUCAAGAGUCAUCAAACGUCCCAACUUUCUAAAAGAAGUUAAUGAGCAUGAGUGAACAAAGAGUUGCGACCCGGAUCAAGCAAAAAGGAGUUAGUAGUGGCAUCCAUUGGAAAUCUGUGAGAUUUAUUUUAAACAUGCGAAUGAAGAAAGAGAUCGAUGUUUUUUGGAGUAUAAAGGCGAGACCGUAUAUAUUUUUUCUUUAUGUAAAGAAAUUUGUAUUCUAGUAAAGUUUUCUAAAUGCAAUUGAAUCAGAAUCAAUGUCUCUUUUAUGCAUUCAUUUCAUGCAUUUGUAUUGCAUGACAUCAUAUGCAUUAAAAUCCAUUAAAAAACCCUAAUUGGUUAAAAUCAUUCAUCAGCUAAUCUGGAAACCAACCAGUCAACAAAACACCCUUACGGUACCCGAGCAAAGUCAAGAAGUAUGGACCAAAGAUUGGAAAAGCUGGAGCAGUUCCAAAAAGAAAUGCAGGAUCAACUUCAGUAACAGAUGCAAGAGCAGCUCGAGAAGAUUCAGCAGAAAAUGAUGGAUAAAAUGAUGGAAUCUCAAGGUAGUAUGAUGACAAAGUUAACGCAGUUGUUGACGGAAGGGAAUGAUAAAGGAAAGGGCCCCAUGGCCAAUGUUGAAGAGGAAGGUGAUGAUGGACCCCUAUACUCUCCAGGCUUCACUCCCCCACAUGUACAGCCCCAAGCAGAAGUGUACCCGUGCAAAUCUUCUGUUACGAUUAGGCCUCAACAAUUUCAGGCCGAUGCUUCAAAGUCGAUGAAUUACCAGGCUGGAUCAGACUCUAGCCCUGAGAAUAAUCCUGUCAAUCUUAUCAUCCCUGACUUCGAUGAGGCAGUCGAUAAAUAAAAAAUAAUAGAGGAAUUGCCAAAGCAAUUUGAAGAAAGGUAGAAGUGGGUUGAGGAGAAAUUCAGAGCGAUGGAAAGCACUGAGAGAUAUAGUGGGAUUGAUGCUAAGGAACUGAGUUUGGUCCCAGAUUUGGUGCUCCCUCACAAGUUCAAGAUGCCAGAAUUCGUGAAGUAUAAUGGGACCAGUUGCCCUGAAGCCCACAUUACCAUGUUUUGUAGGCGAAUGACUGGGUAUGUUAAAAACGAUCAAUUAUUAAUACAUUACUUCCAAGAUAGCCUCACAGGGGCAACAUCUAAAUGGUACAAUCAAUUGAGCCGUACUAAGAUUAGUUCCUAGAGGGAUUUGGCGCAGGCUUUUAUGAAGCAGUACAGUUAUGUAGCAGAAAUGGUUCAUGAUAGAAUCACCCUAUAAAACAUGGAAAAGAAGUCGAAUGAAGGUUUUAGGCAGUAUGCACAGAGGUGGAGGGAGGUUGCCGUCCAAGUUCAACCACCUCUAUUGGAAAGAGAAAUGGCAAUGCUUUUUAUAAAUACGUUGAAAGCCCCGUUCAUCACACAUAUGUUAGGAAGUGCCACAAAAAGCUUUUCUGACAUAGUCAUGAAUGGUGAAAUGAUUGAAAACGCCAUAAGGAGCAGAAAGAUUGAUGCUGGAGGAAAUAACAGAAGGCAAGCCUCAAAAGAAAAAGAAAAUGAGGUGAACAGCGUGAAUUCGUACAGUAAAUCGAUUACGGUGAAUCAACCAAGAAAGGUGGUUGCUAAUCAGUAGGGUUUAUCAAGACAAGACUUAGGUGUGAAACAAGGUACUGAGAAGCUCCAGUUCACACCCAUCCUAACGACAUAUGGGGAGUUGUAUCAGAAGCUGUUUAAUGCACAUGUGGUAUCUCCAUUCUACUCAGAACCUGUGCAACCUCCGUAUCCCAAAUAGUAUGAUGCAAACGCACAAUGUGACUACCAUACGGGAAUUAUGGGGAACUCAAUAGAGAAUUGCACUACCUUUAAAAGGCUAGUUAAAAGACUCAUCAACAUGGGUGUUGUCAAGUUUGAUGAUUCAUCCAAUACAAAAAAUUCCAUUACCCAAUCAUGUUGAUAAUGGGGUGAAUGCGAUGUAUGAGGAAAAGUUAGAAAAUGUAAUUAUCAAUGCCAUAGACACAACUGAAGGAGGGACCUUGUUUGAGAUCUGCCCUUAUGAACCUGGGAGCGAGCAAAAUAAUUAGACUGUGGAAGAGAUCUCUGUAGUAUUUAGAGCUUGCUCAGAGUAAUGUUUAGAACACUCUUAUUGCUUUUUAGCCUAGAAGUGAUAAGAAUACCUUUGUCAAAUAGGCUCAUGUCUGAACGUCAUUAUUCUAAUAAAAUACAUCUUUGCAUUCAUUUUUGAGCCAAUAUUCUUUCAUUCUUUUCAAAUAAUUAUUCUUUCAUUCUUUUGGAUUUUCUUCCAAAUCAUUCAUUUAUUCAUUUAUAAUCAAUUGUACAAAUAGUUAUUCAUAAAUUUGUAUAUUCUUUGAUAUUUAUUAUGGGUCCCUAGAUAUCAAUGACAUGAAUGACGCUACUACAGACUCAGAAUUUCCUUUUGAGCGAGGCAUGUGUUUAGAGGGAUUUCAUGACUUUGAAAAUGACAUAGAUUGUAGCUUAUCUCCUGAUUUGUUAAGGGUGGUAGAGUAAGAAGAGAAACAAAUUUACCUCAUGAGAAGACAAUGGAGACUGUGACCUUGAGGGAACAUACAUGACCGAAGAAAAAAGCAAGAUGUUGUUGAGUUACUUCAAGAAUUCGAAGAUGUCUUCGCAUGAUCAUAUCCGAACAUGCCAGGGUUAAGCACUGAUAUUGUAAUCUGAGCAACAGCACGACGACAAAAAUUUAUAGUAUGUUCAAAAUUAACAUCAUGAAUGAUGCAGUUAGAAUUCUUUGCCGGGGCAAUGCCUUCUUUUUUGGUUCAUCAUGGUUUUGUCCGUUGAAGUCAAGUUGUCAUUUUUUCGUAUUGUAGAGGAAGACCUAAAGUUUUUUAUCAUAGAUAAAAUUCGCCCUAAAAGGCUCUAUGAGAGAAAUCUGAUAUUAAAGAAGAUCUUUCGCAUACAAAAAAAAGUGGAAGAUCUUAUGGAGAAGACCUUAUCUAGAAUAACAUUGAUUCUGGUCGAAAGGGAUAACCAGGACUUUCCCAAAUCCUAUGAGUUCAGAUUCAAUCAAAGAAAAACUAAAAAACAAAAUCAAAAAAUCAAAAAUCAACAAAAUCAAAAUCAAAAUAAAAAAUCAAAAUUGGAAAAUAAGAAUGAUGAAAAAAAAAGAAAAAAGAAAAGAAAGAAGAAAAAGAGAGGCCAAGGCGGAAACCUGCAAAGGGCACCUUGAUAUUUGAGUUGAAAACUCGAAAAGGGCGGCUCAAAUUUUGGAUCAAAUUGGGGCAUGAGAUGAUCAGAGUUACUCAAAAGUUGAUCAAAAUGGGGCGUGCGGUGAUCUUGCUAUGCCUAAGAUGGCAGGAAAGGGUACGCGACAUCUUGGGGCAUCGAUAGAGUAUUGUAGAUCUCCUAAGCACAAGUCAAACUCAGAAUGGUCUUUAGGAAGUUUGUACAGAGAAGUUCAAGUUGUGGUGUCUAGGGCACCUAGUUUUUAUGAUAUUUUUAUUUGCUUAUUCUUGGAAUACUUCAUUCUUUUUUGAAGAUACAAGUCAAUUCCUCUUUUAUUCUUAAUAUUCUUGAUAAUUUAUUCAUUGCAAGCUAUACUUUCAAAUCAAAUCAAUUCUAUUUUAUCUAUCGCUUUGUUCUUUUUGCAAGCAUGUUGCAUUAGAAUAAUGAUUAAUAGACUAAUAAAACUUUUACAAAGGAAGUUUUGCAUAUUACUCUAGAAGUUUCUAAAUAAUAAGGGAACCUGAAACAGAACUAUUGUUUAGAGCACACCAAGUUUAAAGGUUGGAAAUCUGAAAAGGAAUAGUCUAAAUUAAGACUUUCUCUUUAGAUUUUAUUGUCAAAGACAUUGACUGAACAAAAUGACAGGAUGUCAUGUCGGUGAUAAGGCUUCAAUGAGUAGGCAGACAAUGAUAACCAAGCAAUAGGAAGAGGUUUCCUCGGAAAAGAAAGCCUUCAUUUGUGCAUGAGCAUUUGGUAUGACACCUUGGGAAUGGAGUAAAGAACCAAAUAGCUUCACAUUUUAUAUCCUUGAAUUGCGAUAGGAAAGGAUUGAGAAAAGACCAGAUUUUUCUACCAUUGGGUUAUAACGGGAGAAAGAUGGUGCAAAUUUUACGUCUCAAUGGAUGGAACUUUGAGGUUUACAGUGGGAGAAAUUUGAUCGAGUGUUUCUUUGGAGAUGCGAGCCGAGCAAAAAUGCAUUGUAGCACUUCAGUGAUAAGGCCUUAAUAAAUUUCGAGUAAUGAUGACCUAAGUGAUAAAGAGGGAUCAUUCUCAAAAAAAAUAAUAUUCUACAUUCAUUCAAAUGUCAUUAAUAUAUGUCUAGUUAGGAGCAUUUGGUUCAUUUUGAUCCUGACAUCCUAAUCGCUAAGCAUAAUUAGGUUCAUAAAUUGAAUUAUACAGGUCAUGUUCUCCAGAGAACAAACCGGUGAAACUUCAGCCUUAUCUCCCUGAGCAGCAGUGGAAUAGGUUAAAAAUAGCAGAUCUUGUCUUCCUGUAUUGGCAGCAAAGUAGAUCGAAGAUACGAGUCUUUUCUUCCUGGGUAGCAGUGGAAUAGGUUAAAAAUGACAGAUCUUGCCUUCCUGUACUGGCGGCGAAGCAGAUCGAAGAUACCCGUCUUAUCGUCUUAACGUUGCAAUGGAAAAGACUGAAGCCACAACGGCGGAUCUUAUUUUCCUGGUGUCUUAGCGGAGUAGAUUGAAGCUACGACGGCGGAUCUUAUCUUCCUGGUGUUAAGACUUGGAUUAGCUGAAGUGGAGCGGAUUAAAGCUGUGGGCAGCGAAUCCUAUCUCUUUUGCAUUGCAAUUAAAAAGAUUAAAGCCACAACGGCGGAUCUUAUUUUCCUGGCAUUGCAGCGGAGCAGAUUGAAGCCACGACGACGGAUCUUAUCUCCCUGGUGUUAAGGCUUAGAUUAGCUGAAGUGGAGUGGAUUGAAGCUGUGGGCAGCAAAUUCUAUCUCUUUAGCAUUAUAGUGGAAAAGAUUGAAGCCACAACGGCGGAUCUUACUUCCCUGGCGGUGUAGUGGAAUAGAUUGAAGCUACGACAGCGGAUCUGGUUUCCCUGACAUUGAAAAUUAAAAAGAUUUAAGCCACAAUGGCGGAUCUUACUUCCCUGGCGAUGUAGUGGAACAGAUUGAAGCUUCGACGGCAGAUCUGGUUUCCCCGACAUUGCAAUUAAAAGGAUUGAAGCCACAAUGGUAGAUCUUACUUCCCUAGCGGUGCAGUGGAACAGAUUGAAGCUACGACGACGAAUCUUGUUUCCCAGACAUUGCAAUUAAAAAGAUUGAAGCCACAACGGUGGAUCUUACUUCCUUGGCGGUGUAGUGGAAUAGAUUGAAGUCACGACGGCGAAUCUUGUUUCCUCGACAUUGCAGUUAAACAAUUUGAAAAAUUCUAUCUCCUUGAAGUUGCAGUGGAGCGGAUUAAAAUGAUGAAUCCUAUACCUCUGAAGUUGCAGUAGGUCGGAUUAAAUCCCCAUGACAGAUCUCAUCUUUUUGAAGUUGCAGAAGAGCCAAUCACAUCCAAUCUUAUCUCCCUGAAGUUGCAGUGGACCAGACUAGAGAUAGCAAAUUUUAUUCUUUUGAGAAGCUACAAGAUACAACUCCUAUUUCUUUGUUGUUGCAGUGAUGUGGAUUAAAACACCAGUUCUUAUACCUCUGAAGAUGCAGUAGGAUGGAAUGAAGCUACUUGAAGGAAAAGAGCCCCGAAGUCCAACAUGAGCAGGCAAAAUUAGCCAUUUUUAAAGUCUUUACUUUGUUCUUGUUACAUGAUAACGGGCAAAGAGGGGCAGCUGUAAUAGGCCAAUUUUGGCCUGGUUAAAAAAACAAAUAACAAGCCUAAAUUGUAACCCAAUUACAUUAGCCCAAUAAACCUAUAACAGAAUCAAAGAACCCUAGCCCCUUCGCCUCAGUACCGCAGCAGCAAACAGCCUCCGUGUAGAUAUCGCAGCACGUCGCACGUUCUUCUUCCACGCCGCGCACGUCUGUCUUCCAUGCACCUGCAACAAACUACAAAUAGUAGCAAAUGAAAAGAAAAUGGGGGAAUUUUUAUUAUUGUUUUGGGGUUAUAAAGAGUUGAUUGUAAAACCGAUUGAAAAAACAAUAUUGUAUUAACAGAUUGAGAAACGCAACAAGAUUAAAAAAAUAGUUUUGAAGGUGACGAUUUUGGUUCUUCUUUUUUCCAGUUUUUUUUCCUUCUUUCUUUCUCUUUUAUUUUUCCUUGUUUCUAAAAGCAAAUAAAAAAGGGAAAGAAAGGAGGGCGUACCGUUGCGAGAGUCGUCGGAGAGCGUUCUCGUUUUGUUGUUAUCUGGUCAGACAUGGGAGGGGACUGCAACGGAGGAGGAGAACUGUUGCGGCGCGAUUUUGAAUGGCAAAGGAGAGUUUU